rnacentral:rRNA from 1 species
AUACGAAGGGGGCAAGCGUUGUUCGGAAUAACUGGGCGUAAAGCGCACGUAGACGGAAUGUUAAGUUAGAGGUGAAAUCCCAGGGCUCAACCCUGGAACGGCCUUUAAUACUGGCAAGCUAGAGACCGAGAGAGGUGAGUGGAAUUCCGAGUGUAGAGGUGAAAUUCGUAGAUAUUCGGAGGAACACCAGUGGCGAAGGCGGCUCACUGGCUCGGUACUGACGCUGAGGUGCGAAAGCGUGGGGAGCAAACAGGAUUAGAUACCCUAGUAGUCC